rnacentral:rRNA from 1 species
AGUGAACGCUGGCGGUAGGCCUAACACAUGCAAGUCGAACGGCAGCACAGUAAGAGCUUGCUCUUACGGGUGGCGAGUGGCGGACGGGUGAGGAAUACAUCGGAAUCUACUUUUUCGUGGGGGAUAAAGUAGGGAAACUUACGCUAAUACCGCAUACGACCUACGGGUGAAAGAAGGGGAUCUUCGGACCUUGCGCGAUUGAAUGAGCCGAUGUCGGAUUAGCUAGUUGGCGGGGUAAAGGCCCACCAAGGCGACGAUCCGUAGCUGGUCUGGGAGGAUGAUCAGCCACACUGGAACUGAGGCACGGUCCAGACUCCUACGGGAGGCAGCAGUGGGGAAUAUUGGACAAUGGGCGCAAGCCUGAUCCAGCCAUACCGCGUGGGUGAAGAAGGCCUUCGGGUUGUAAAGCCCUUUUGUUGGGAAAGAAAAGCAGCAGGUUAAUACCCCGCUGUUCUGACGGUACCCAAAGAAUAAGCACCGGCUAACUUCGUG